GGAGAGAUGUCCGAGAGGCCGAAGGAGCUUGAUUGGAAAUCAAGUAUAGGUGUCAAAGCCUAUCAAGGGUUCGAAUCCCUUUCUCUCCG
rnacentral:tRNA from 1 species